AUGCAUUCCAAUGGGGGAAUAGCGGCCAUAUGGAGGUACUACAGCAAUAGCGGAGCAAUGGCGGCCUCCAGUGUCGUAGUCACAAAGCAGAGCAGUGCGUGCCACCUUGUCAACCUCUACAAAAAGGCAAAAAGGAGUGUAGACGGGUGUGCUGGGGUCCUCCUCAGCUGAGUUCACCUUACAAUCAAGGAGAUUCAAGAACCACUCCAGUGAGCUCAGCGGUGCCAGAUCGCAAAACUCUGCAUGUCAAGUCUAUGCUAGCAGCUCCCCGACUUGAUAAGGGAAAUGUCCUCUCUACUUGAAGGUAAUAACUGGCAUUCACUCCAAUGAACAGUUUUUUUAUUUGCCUCUGUCCAUGCAGUAGUAGGUGAAAAACCUCAAAACACAGAACAAAAACAAGUGUAAAUAAACUUUUAAAUGUGUUUAGUUUUAGGAAUACAUACAACAUUCAGUAUGAACAUUUUAUACAACUUCAAGUUUUAGCAUGUAUUCUUUAAACGUAUUUAAUUUUAACCAUACAAUCCAAUUCGUCUGCAUUUUAAGAGAUUUUACCCAUGACCUUUAACAUGUUUUUAAGCAUAAUUUUAAACAGUUAUGUUCACGUAACCAUGAAUUUAAUUUAACCUUUUAAUGGCCUUAUUUACAGUUCACAAUCUAGGUCCAUAAACAUGUAAACCAGACAUCAAUUUAAUCACAUAUUGUCCCUUACCGGCCAUCCUUCACUCUUUUGUAGAAAGGUUUUUAAUUGCCGCUUGAUUUGUGUCCUCUUCGAGGUUUGAGGAAAGACAGCUUGUGGCUUCUCUCAGGUUGGUCCUGUGCACACUGACUGAAGUAUUUGUAUCUUUGGAGCCAGUAGGAACAAGUUGAUUGGGGCAUUGGUUUCGCCUGCUUGUA
rnacentral:lncRNA from 1 species